GCCAAGGAGGAGGGAGCUCUCAGCCAUGUUACAGCGGAGAAGCCUGUUGCAGGAGCAAUGUUUUACUCUGCUGCAAGAUGAAGAAACCCUGCUCAUGGGUGACUGGUGCCUCCUGAGUCAGGUGGGGGCAACUGCAGAAGCUGUGAGUGGCAGCGGUGGCAGGGACAAAGCUGACAAGCACCCGCAGAAGCCACCAGCGGCGUCAGCAUCGGAAUCGGGGCUGGAGGUGAAGGCAGCAGCCCCUGCUACAUGGAGCAUUCUUCCCCUUUCCCAGGUGCCUGGUGUAGCUGGCCCAGUCCCAGGCAAAAGAUAUGAAGCCCAUCAGGUCUCCCUCAGCAUCACCUGUGGAGUCUCUGGGGCCUCUGUCAGCAGCCACUACUGGCACUGGCUGCGGCAGCCUCCAGAGCUGGGCUCCAGUGGCUGGGCUCCAUUCAGAGCAGCAUGGAGCUUGGAACCAGCAACUACCACCCAGCUCUGGCCUCCCAAAUUUGCAUCACCCAGGACACCUGGAAGGAGGAGGUGCAGAUGCAGCCGCAUGCCCUGACUGCUGCUAACAGUGCCAUCUACUACUGAGCCAAGGAGAAGGCCCAAGUGAGGGGCACAGCGACAGACCAGGCAGGGGCUGCAAACAGAGGGAAGCUUACUGUCAGACCAAUUCUCCUCAGGCCGAAGAGGUUCCUGCAUGAUCCCUUGCACCCAAAAGGGGAGUCGCAGGCAGGAGAGAUGCUGCAGCCUCACAGGGAUUGCCCAGAAUGCAUAGAGGAAGAUGAUACUACAAAAAUGAAAAUGUGGAGCUUUGCCAAGACUGCUCAGAGCCCUGACACCAGACCCUGGGGGUGGAGUAGCAACUGCUUUCAGCAGGUGCAGGAAAUAGAGAGGCCAAGUGCAUGCAUCCUUAUAGAGCCUCUGUGCCAAAGCUGGGGUCACCCAGCCACCUGCCAGGCCACUGCACAUUAGGAAGCUCUGAGCCAGCCUCAGAGGUGACCCUUUGUAAUGUCCCCAGCCUUCAGCCCCUGAAAACAAGCUCCCUCUUUACAGAGCAGCUGCAGGCAGGGCCCCAGCAUCAAGGCAGCUUGGGUCUAGCUUGCCACCCCCCUGGGGAGCUGCCCAAGCAUCACAACCAUGGUCUCCAGCACUGCCAUCCCCCUCCUGCUGGUCUUAUCCCAUCUGCAGCCUGUACUAUGAAUUCUCUGAUACAGCCAAAAUGUACCUGCAACCCAGAAUCCCUGUAUUAUUUCCCUUGACUUUGUCCCUCCCUGUAGGUGUGUGCACCUAAGACAGCCUGGUACGGUCUGGUGGGGAGUCCAGGAGCUUAGAGGGAUUUUCAGUCAGACCUGCUCCAUGUCCAGGUUCUUGCUCAUAAACUGCAACACAUACUGGUGUUCCAGUCAGCAGGGAAAGGGCUGGAACUGGUGGCAGCUCUAUAGACUGGGGGCUAUGCUUUAAGGAGCCUCCUCAGAUUAAGCAGAGACACCUCCAGAGGCUGAACACACCUGUGGCUGAGUAGACUGGAACCUGGAGACGAGGCCCAGUAUUACUGUACAAGGCACAGUGCACAUUACAGUCUGCUCAAAAAGCAGCCUGCAGGGCCGAGCCUUCAUAUAGACCCCAGUGCAGGCAGGAGUCCAAUGCUUUCAGCUCUUAUCCUCCCAAGGGAACCCACAUGCAAAUCCCUGCCCAGGGGCUCCUGGGUAAAUGCAGCCCCUGAAUCCCAGAGCCUCAGUCUCUACCCAGCUCCUGCCCUGCCCACUUCUGCCUGCCAGGAGCUGCCUCACCCCACAGCAGGAUGGAUGCUGUUCUGCUCUUCCUCCUGCUGCUCGUUGCCCCCACAGGUGCCCUCAUGGGGGUGAUGCUGCUGCAGUCUGGCCCAGGUGCAGUGAGGCCUGGGGAGACCCUUACUCUGCAGUACACUGUCUCUGGUGUAUCCCUGACUGAUAACAAUUAUGGUUGGUUCUGGGUCCAACUGGGACCUGGAAAGCAGCUAAAUGAGAUUGAAUGGAUUGGAGCAUAUUUGCCAGAGAUGGGAAGAGCGGCCCUCUUCCCAUUAUUCCAGAGCCAAGCUGACAUCUCUGCAGGCACCUCCCAGAACCAGCUCUCCUUGCAGCUGUGCUCCCUGACAGCUACAGACACUACCAUGUAUUAUUGUGUCAGAGCCAGCACACAGUGACACAGAGCAGGGCAGGGGCCAUGCAAAGAGAGGAAGCGCUUCCAAGCAGACCACACGUACCUGGCUUUCCAGCUCCUGCUGCAUUGGCCCUCAGGCCAGGUGGGUGGGACAUAAUUAUGUCAGGCCUGCUCACCUGCUGCUCCACACGUCUCAGACAGGGGUCCCCAGUCGUCCAUCACCACACCCUCCUCUGCUGAUGUGCAGCACUAGCUGAGAUGCAGGACAGAUCCAUUAAGGGCAGUGCUGCAGGGGAUGGGACGCGGACCAGCCCUAUCCAAGCAACUCCCAUCCCAGGCAUUUCUGGAUCCACAGACAGUGGAAAUGCCUUGUCAAUCACUGGCCCAAGGCAUCAGUAUCUUUGAGGGCCCACCUCCCAGGGCCCCUCGGCUGUACAGACACCAGGCCAGUGCCCAGCACCUGUUCAUGCCCAGGGAGAGCCAGGUGUCUGACAACCACCUAUGCCCUUGAAACCAGUCUCCUGAACCCUCCUAUGAAAUGUCCUGUUCUGUCCACUUUGACAGGCUCCUCCUCUCACCAACCCCCAUGCCCAUACUCGGAGCUCUCCACAGGGAUGGCCAGGGUCCCAUCACAGCACCUAACCUAGGGCCCCCUAUGCUGGAGCAGUGUUUAUGAAAGGUUGAGCUCCCCCUGUAACUCCAAGGCCUUGGGAAGCACCUCAUCAGGAAGGAACCAUGGGGCCCUUGGAGAAGGCAUCAUUCCUGGACACCAAGUCUGGGGGUAGCAGGACACCAAGCCCUGCAAGGGCCACAGGUCCCAGCACUAAGCCGGCACCCAGGUGACUGUGCAUAGAGCCAGGCCCGAGUGCAGUGCUCUUGGGAGGCAGCAGCUGACCCAGCCCUCCCAUACUGGGAACCCCUUCCCUGCAUACUGGGAACCUGCCUAGCUGCCUUUGGCCUCAAGAUCUGGUACUGAGGACCAUCCUGUAAACCACCCAGACUCAGGGAGAGUAGAAAAAAAUCCCCAUCCACUCCCAUAACCUCUGCCACAUCUCUGGGCUCCCUCAGCUAUGGGAAAACAAACAUCAUGAGAAGCCUCAGACUUGCCUUCCUGCCAGGACAGGAAAGGACUAGAUCUGCAGUGUUAACUGGAGUCAGCAGAAAUGAAGUGGAAAAAGAACCAGACAUCUCAGCUGAAGAAACAGACCAGGAGCUUCAUUCUUCCACAUCAUCCAGCAAACCUGCAGUCUCCAGCUGCUGGCUCAGGAGCCCCAGUGCACUGAAUGUGAUGCAUGCACCUUUGGGACCUGCAUAGUGAAACUUCAACUCUGGCCUAAUAGAGUCUGGAAGAGUUGUAGCAAGGAAGCAGCAGGCUUUGACCAGAAAGGAUUCAAACCCAGUCCCUUCUACUUCCCCCUUUGGAUUCAUCCCUUAAACCCUCACAGGGUCUUGCUAAAGGCAAGAGAGUCUGUUACACCCUGGGACUGCAAAGAGAGAAACAUGUACUUAUUGGAGACUGUUCCCUUGAGGCCGGAGGGGCCUCCACAGACAAGACCCCCCAGUCCUACAUAGAGUUGAUGGCAGAAAUUACCGAAAUGCCUUGGGAAGUCCCAUUCCCCAUACCCAUAUUCACUGAGAUGCCCCCUCAACCCUCAGCACCACUGGGACUCACAGCACUCUCUGGCACUGACCGUGGGGGAAAGGAAGCAGUGCAGAGAAAGGGCCUUAACAGGGAGUUGUUUUGUGUCCCUAAUGUAGAGGGUGCUCCCUGUGCAGCAGCUCCCUGUGCCAAUCUGCCUGCUUUUGCCCAGAAUAAACCUGGAGGGACAUGGCACAGUCCCAGGAUCAGUGCAGGACCAGUGACCCACUUAGCAACUCCCUUAUGUCACCAGGGGAAGGAGACAUGGGCCCAGCUGGUUUUCAAUGCACUAGUUUUGGAAGGUGCUGUUGCCCAUGGUCUGGGCAGUCUCAGGCCAUGGAAUGAGGCUCUUUCUCCUACUACAAUUUCUAGGCAGAUCUUUUUUUUUUUCUCCCCAGCAGCCCACAUAUUAAUCCAGGCUCCCCUGGUGAAGUCUAGAGGGGAUGGGAAGAAGCCAGAGACUUUGCCCAACCCUUCUGCAAGAACUCCAGGUUCCUCUUCAGCACCCAAAUCACUGUCACCCUAGGGACACCCAAUAGAGGCUUCUUCCCUGUGCCUUAGCCAGCCCCAUCACCUCUAGUCAUUCCCUGACCAGCUCCCCACUCCCCCAGUACAGCCCAUUCAACCCUGCUGUUCCAGGUUCCCAGCCCUUCUACAACUACUUCCAUGACCUGGCACCCAAGCUGAGGGCUGCUCCCUUCCCCUUCACCCCACAGACACAAGUUGCUGGCAGACAGGGGCUGGGGCUGCUCACCCUAAGGGGUUGGAGAUGGUCAGAGGAGCCAUGUGCUUCCCCCUCAGGGGAAGCCUGCCCAGGAGCCCCUGCACUGAGGGAGGCACUGAGCAAGCCUAAGAUGAGCAGACACAGAUGCACAUAGGACAGGGAUGGGCAAUUAUUUCAGGCAGAGGGCCACUUACUGAGUUUUGGCAAGCCAUCGAGGGCCAC